UAUUCUGAUUAUAAGAAAGACGUCGACAGACACAAAGCGAAAUACACAAUACACGAUAUGACAAGAUUUCACCAAAAAACAGGAAUCAUCGAUGACAAAUACAAAUGUGUAGAAUUGUAACCUUUGCAAUAUAGAAGAAUAUGGGAGGUUUUUAUAUUUUCUGUUUAUGGUUUGCUUUGUUUACAAAAAUUAUCACAGCCUGGGAGUUCAACAUAUGCAUAAUUCACCAAACUGGUGUGGAUUUCCCAGAAUCAAACCUUAUACAAUACAUGCACGAUGCUAUGUUUUCGUUCACCGACAGAGGGCGCUUUCCACAAAUAACGCUUAAUACUUCCCUGAUUGAGCUCUCAAAGACGGAAUUACUAGGCAUAACGGACAAUGGUUGUUCUAAAAUACCACCAAGUUGUCAUGGAUUAAUCACAAUAGCCGACUGUUCGCAAGCUUCAUUGAUCAACGUUUGGGCUUCCAAACACGUGAUACCUCACGUGAUACUCAACGAUAAGUCAUGUGAUCACCAUUCAGAUAACGGAAUCAAAAUGACGCCAUAUUAUCACAGUGAAAACGAGGCUAUUACAGCGAUUGCUAAUCACGAGCAAUGGUCGGAAGUUUUAAUUUUACAUGAUUCCUUUAUAGGUUCAAAACAAAAAGCAGGCUUGAUAAAUGAAUUAUCGAAAUAUUAUAUAGGCUCACUAUGCCUGGACAUCGACGAUGGAUUAUCCAGUCAUAUGCAGACCAUUUUAGAUUCCCAAUAUCGAAACAUUAUUGUUAUAGCCCGUGAUCAGAAUGUACGGGAUGUAUUCCAACAGGCUAAAGAUUUGUCAAUGUUGGAUGCUGCGUUUUUCUGGUUGGCAUAUUCUGAUACGAUAUCCGCAGCAUCUUUGAAAGAGGGUAAGGUGAAUGGCAGUAAUGUUGUAUUUUUAAAGAGAAAGUUACCGGCUGGGAGUGAUCUCCCUUGUCUACAGGUCAAUGGUCAAUG